rfam:Listeria monocytogenes EGD-e, complete genome
GUAAAAGCGUCGAACAGAACAAGUAGAGCGUAAUUCUUUAGAAGAGAGUCCUUGGUUGGUGUGAAAGGAUAAAGAUAGCGUUAUCGAACACAUCUCGGAGCUGGUUUGCUGAAGCAUAAGUGAGUAGGUGAACUCGGGUUAAGCCCGUUAUAGCUUGUUAGUCUCGAACUAACAGAGGUUGAUACUGCGAAGUAUCAGCAAAUUGAGGUGGAACCACGUGAAUAUUAUUCUCGUCCUCUUG